GGUCCCGCCUGCCCUGUGACUAUUAGUUUAACGGCCGCGGUAUUUUGACCGUGCAAAGGUAGCGUAAUCACUUGUCUUUUAAAUGGAGACCUGUAUGAAUGGCAUAACGAGGGCUUAACUGUCUCCUCUAUCUAGUCAAUGAAAUUGAUCUCCCCGUGCAGAAGCGGGAAUAAAAACAUAAGACGAGAAGACCCUAUGGAGCUUUAGACCCCAGAGCAGACUAUGUCAACCACCCUUCACACAAGGCGGAAACAAAAUACAUCCCUGCUCCACUGUCUUCGGUUGGGGCGACCACGGGGUAAUAAGGAACCCCCGCGCGGAAUGGAAACACACCCUUCUACAACCAAGAGCUCCCGCUCUAAUUAACAGAAUUUCUGACCAUAAAGAUCCGGCACAGCCGAUCAACGGACCGAGUUACCCUAGGGAUAACAGCGCAAUCCUCUUCUAGAGACCCUAUCGACAAGGGGGUUUACGACCUCGAUGUUGGAUCAGGACAUCCUAAUGGUGCAGCCGCUAUUAAGGGUUUGUUUGUUCAACAAUUAAAGUCCUACGUGAUC
rnacentral:rRNA from 1 species